rnacentral:rRNA from 1 species
CGGACGGGUGAGUAAUGCCUAGGAAUCUGCCUGGUAGUGGGGGACAACGUUUCGAAAGGAACGCUAAUACCGCAUACGUCCUACGGGAGAAAGCAGGGGACCUUCGGGCCUUGCGCUACCAGAUGAGCCUAGGUCGGAUUAGCUAGUUGGUGAGGUAAUGGCUCACCAAGGCGACGAUCCGUAGCUGGUCUGAGAGGAUGAUCAGCCACACUGGAACUGAGACACGGUCCAGACUCCUACGGGAGGCAGCAGGG